rnacentral:rRNA from 1 species
UUAGAACAGCACAUGGGGUUUUGCGCUGAACGGAUCGCGCAGGAUGCGCAGAUCGGGGCGCUCGGCGAUCGUGUAGCCGGCAGCGAAAUCGCCAAAGGCAAUGGCAAAGGCAUCGUCCCCGGCAUCCGGCAUGUCCUCGACGAUCACCACCGGAUAGCCCAUCAGGCGCGCCGGCUCGCCGGCCGCCAGCCCGUCCGACCACAGGAACCGGCCAUCGGCGUCCUUCAGCUUGCGCACGGCUCCGGCGGUCUUCGAAUUCAUCACGAAGGUGGCGUUGGCGCGGUACUGCGCCCCCAGGGCAUAGACCAGGUCGACAAUGGCAUCCGCCGGGUUGGUGGCCGCAAAGGCCCCGUCGGCGCCGCUCAGCACGUGGCCGAAUUCGCCCCACGCCUCGCUCCCUGCCGCCUGGGUCGCAUAGGUGAGAAAGCCCGUCGGCUUGUCGACCCCGUCCCCGGAGACAAACGCCGCCGCUUCCGCGCGCGCGAACUUCUCCGCGAUCCGGCCCGCCAGCCAGCCUUCGACGUCAAAGGCGCUGUCGUCCAGCAGCCGCUGCGACGCUUUCGGCAACGCGCUCAGCUCGUGCAGCGGGAUGGUGAUCCGGUCGAUCGACGGCGUGUCGGUUUCGGUGACCGCCCCGGUCUCGCUGGCCCAGCCGGUGCCCACUUCGGUGUGAUCGAUCAGCACGUCAUACGAUGUCGCCUCCACAUUCACCACGCUGGCCACCGCCCGCAGCGACGAGGCCGAGCGCAGCACCGAGCGGAUCUGCUCCGCCGUUUGCGGAUCCACCAGAUAGCC